CUACGGGUGGCUGCAGUGGGGAAUAUUGGACAAUGGGGGGAACCCUGAUCCAGCCAUGCCGCGUGUGUGAAGAAGGCCCUCGGGUUGUAAAGCACUUUCAGUGAGGAAGAACGCCUGGUGGUUAAUACCCAUCAGGAAAGACAUCACUCACAGAAGAAGCACCGGCUAACUCCGUGCCAGCAGCCGCGGUAAUACGGAGGGUGCGAGCGUUAAUCGGAAUUACUGGGCGUAAAGCGCGCGUAGGUGGCUUGAUAAGCCGGUUGUGAAAGCCCCGGGCUCAACCUGGGAACGGCAUCCGGAACUGUCAAGCUAGAGUGCCGGAGAGGAAGGUAGAAUUCCCGGUGUAGCGGUGAAAAGCGUAGAGAUCGGGAGGAAUAACAGUGGCGAAGGCGGCCUUCUGGACUGACACUGACACUGAGGUGCGAAAGCGUGGGUAGCAAACAGGAUUAGAUACCCGGGUAGUC
rnacentral:rRNA from 1 species